UCUUCAUGUCCCGUUCGUGUGGUCCGGUAUCCCUGAUUGAACCUGUGUGUAGCGACCUUCGCAUGUUCUCCGACCAACCUUGUAAGCCUGACUCCUUUGAUACUUCUGCCUGCGUUGAUUGUUCCCCUGUGUACCGACUCCUGCCUGUCCGCUCACCUGCUCUCUUCGCCCGACGUCCCAACUACCGCUGCUGCACCGGACUGCCUGCUCGAUCCCCUAUCUCGCCAUAUAAUAAACGCGUCUCUUCUUGAACUACCUUGCGUCUUCCGAGUUCCUGCAUUUGGGUCCUACUCUCGUUCCGAUGGGACGUGACAGAGGGCUAAGGAAGAACCCAUUGAAAUUGCUUUUUCCAGAGUUGCUACUCGGCGCGCUCUUCAAAGCCUCGCGACGAAGAGGCUUGCGAUCCGGGAUACAAAGACUUGGCUUUGCGGACGAGUGCCUACGCUACUAUCACACUAGCCGGUUUCAACCUCCAUCGUGCUGAUCGUGUCGUCAAGCUAACAAGCUUUAUUGAUACUCUUUUCAGAAGGCCAACAUUCCAGUUUUACUUUUUGAAAAAAAAGUUGACUAAAUGGAGUUUGCCUCGACAACGAGGAAUGGUGCACGGACGUUACAGAGCUCAGCACACACUGGAGCCCGCUUUUAGAGUCGCUGUUUUUGAACGGUCCGUUUGAGCAACCCACGGCACCGCAAAUAGGCAUCUUCAAGUUCUACUCAAUGUACGAGUAACGAGCUCAGGGAAAUGAAAUGGCCACCAUCAGCUAUUUGCCUGAGGCAGCACUACUGGUGCCAUCACGUGAAAACAACACAUUGGCUGCCUGAUCUACAGUACUGUCUGUAGUUUGUGUAGAUUCAGCCAUAAAGUCAUUUGUUGUUUUGGGAAAUAUGUUAAUCUUUGACAUUUAAGUGUCUCAAACGUUUAUUGUGUGUUUGUGUUAUGCUAGUGUUUGAGCAGUCUAAUUUAUGUGACUUAUGCAUAUGUGAUGUAGAUUCGUAUUGAACCUGCUGUGCUUUAGCAAUCAUUGUUUGUCCGCUGUCGAAAGAGAUGUAAUUAUGAGUUUCAAAAUAAGAGUAAAAAUCACAAGUACUAUGUUUGCUGCUCAAAUAUUGUGGGAUUAGCUGUUUUGAUAGAAUAGAAUGCGUAAAAUUGUCAAAAUACAAAGCUUUGCCUUGUAGACUACCGAUUGAUGUGGAUUGAUUGUUAUCAAGGCUUACUAACAUGAACUUUUUGUCCCUCAGUUAAAAAAACAAAACACCCACACAGCUAAACAUACUGUAUAUAUGCAAGAAGAGACGGGAAUUGUAUAAAAGGAAAAAACAGACAUAAAAUAGAAAGCCCCAAAUGAUUUUACUCGAUAAAUAUUUUCAUGAGUGGCCGAUAAAAGGGUUAAUCCAUUAAAUUUAGGUGCCUGUCAUGAUCCUGCCGCUCCAGCACGAGCUGUGCGGGUGCGCUGAUUGGGGCGCACACCUGCGUCUCAUGCGGGCUGAUUAGUCUGUGUAUUUAUAUCACCCCGAUGACGAUUGGUCCCCGCCAGUUCGUUGAGCUUCAUGUCCCGUUCCAGCACACUCGUAUCCCUGAUCAACAACCUGUGUGUACCGACCUUCGCCUGUUCUCCGACCAACCUUGUAAGCCUGACUUCUGUCGUUACUUCUGCCUGCUUUGAUUGUUCUCGUGUGUACUGACUCCUGCCUGCCCGCUCACCUGCUCUCUUCGCCCGACGUCCCAACUCCUGCUGCUGCACUGGACUGCCUGCUCGA